GCCUGGGUGGCUCAGUCGGUUGAGCGUCUGACUUCGGCUCAGGUCAUGAUCUCACAGUCUGUGAGUUCGAGCCCCGCGUCGGGCU
rfam:Felis catus isolate Cinnamon breed Abyssinian chromosome B4, whole genome shotgun sequence.